rnacentral:rRNA from 1 species
CCCUAAAAACCUAAACAACUCCCAACAAACUUCCUUUUGCAUAAGGAGUAACCAAAAAUCUAGAUCCAAAUCUACAAUAGAAAGAUAGUAAACUACGAGUACUUAAAAUUUACAUGAAAUCUAACAUUAAAAUACUCGAAGAGACAUUCAAUACACUAUCUGAUAACCAUUUCAAAAUAAACUUAGUACAAACUAAGUAAAACAUUAUAUAAUUCAAGCUAUUAGGCUUAGAAUCAACCAAUACAAUAGUUCGUAAUUGACUAGCUUAACACAAUAAUAACUUAU